UGAUAUAUAUACACAACGAAAAAUACCAUGUGUUCUAUGGCACUCCAACCUAACAUGAUCAUAUACAACAUCAAAGCAUUCCGAACCUCCUCCGAACAUGCAUAUAAAUAGAACAACUCUUUAGGGAAAACUACAUGGACUUUGAAUUGGUCAACCUUAUACAUAAUCCUAAAGAUGAAACGUAAACGGAUAAUACACUUUCACAUCCAGGAACACAUAUCCAUGAAGUCUCCAAAGAAUAUAAAACCACCUCCUGGCCAUCUGCUCCCCACAUACAUCGAAUACAAGAUCAUUGCAAUACGAACCACACGUGCAUCAAUGCAAGGGUAAGCUUACCAAAAAACAAGCAUACCAAAAUAGAAUAAAACUUAACAAUUAAAGCACGAUCUAUUAUCAUCACACAUAUAACAUAAACAUAUAGAAAUCAUACAUAAAGCAUAUGCCUCAGAAUUUACAUAACAAAGUAUAUCAUAACAAUCAUCAGUUCGUCAUUCAACAUAUCAAAACUUAAUCAUCAUACACCAUCAUCAUCCUUAGUCAAUCAAUCAUCGUCACCAUGACUUAUCCAUCAAACAUCAUCAUCACUAGUUCAUCAAUCAUUGGAACCAAACAUAGACUCGACCCCAUAGAGAUUUAUGCUACAGAGCAAUUAACCCAAGUACAUCCUUUAACAUAGUUACACCUUGACCAUUUGGGGUGACUUGAAUUAAACCUAAACAAGAUUUUUGGUUUUAUAAAAAAAUAGAUGAGCGUGGUUAGUAACUUACCUUGAUAAGGUAUGCAUUAACUUUAACCUCUCUAGGAGUUUGUUAACCCAUCUAUUCUAUAGGCCCCUUCGGUGUUAGCCACCAUAAAAAACUUCAGGAAUAGGUUGAGGGCUCACGAAGCACCCAAAACUCACGUGCCUACUAACAACCAACAACUACACUUAGAUUACUUGAGGUUUUAGGUACAACACCUAUGUACCCACCAUCUCACUCAUGGUCAGUCUCAAGUAUCCAAGUUUCACCAUCAACAAUAACCCAUUCCAUAUACACUAAAAAGUCACUAAACCUCUUUGGAAAAUAGUUAUCACCACUCUGACACACCAUUUGAAGUCAAAACCUAAGGGUGAUACUUAGGAAGAUACCCCAUUAGGUGAGACCCUUGGGUUAACGUUGCUUUAGUUAGGUGACAUUCUAGCGUGGAACUCGCCCUCCCAAUUAUACAAUUUUCCAAUAACAACAAAUCUUCCUAAAUGAUAUAGUUAACUCCUUUUGACACAUAUGGAUGGUUCUCAAAAGAAGAUUAUUAUCCAUAGGAAUCAUACAUAAUCACAAAUUCAUUACCAGUACCAACACCAUGAAAGGUUGUAAUAUCAUAGAUUCACCAUUCAUAUGUCCAUCACACUCAUGAACCCACCUAUAGUUCAAUAAGCAUAGCAAGACAUUCCAACAUCUUGAAUUCUUGCAAACAACUCACCAAAAAUCAUAUAAAUGUGAAUCUCAUGAACUCAUCAUAAAGUCAACUCUAAUCAUAAAAUAAUAUCAUCUCAACCACAUCUCAUAUCAUC
rnacentral:lncRNA from 1 species